rfam:Schistosoma mattheei strain Denwood, Zambia genome assembly, scaffold: SMTD_scaffold0002998
AUCCAGCUGACGAGUCUCAAAUAGGAGAAAACGCUCGUCCUGGAU